GCACCUAAAAUUUUCAAUUACUUUUUUAGAAAAGAUACCGUGUUUAUUAGAGCGUGGUAUUAUGUACCUUUAUCAUAAGGAUAAAGAUGUGAAUUACUGGCUGUGUAACAAGAGAUGAAUUGAAGAAAGGUCUGGAGGGAAUUUUACAGAUGUCCUAGUCAUGAGAAACUUUGCAAAAAGCUUGUGAAGCUGCCCACAGAUUUGAAGCUGUGAGAAAUCUGAAAUGCCAUGGAUGACUGUGACACUGCUUAAAAUUGCUGAGGUUAAUGGGCUGCAUGGUGGGUAUUAUGAAUGUCACUUAUCUGCACUGCUUUUACAGAACAGAGUUUUCCUCUUCCAGUGAUUUUAAUUAUGCAGUAUAUGUAUUGUGAGACAACAAAAUGGAUGCUAUUGUUCCAUUUGUGAAAACACUUGAUGUUUAUUGGUGCUUAAGGGACAACAUGCUGCAUAAUUCUGCUGUACUUAAUUUUAUAUUGUACAUAACAUAGAACUACAUUUUUUUGCUUUCCAGUAGAACAUCACAGCUUUCUUUGUCACAUUAGAACAGUAAAAAACUGUUCUCACUUUUAUUAUGGUCAAUGAACCUUAUUCAAUACUUGUAAUUUUGGAAAAUGAGUGAAGGCUUUCUUCAGCCUGGUCUACUGUCUUUUAUCCCAUGCAGAGCUAAUUUGGACUAAAUCAAGUAAUAAGCAAACUUACCAAAUAUCAUGCAACUAGUGCCAUGGGCAUAAGAGCUGGUAGAUAGCAACAGCUACAGAGGGUAGAGUUCUAACAUUCAAAACAGUCUUAACUCUUACCUCUUCUUUUUCCUCUGGGCAAUGUAGAAGAGAGCUUUUCAGGUUUGUUCUGGACAUGUAAAUAUGGAAGUCUUAAUAAAGACCACUGAAAGUUU